rnacentral:rRNA from 1 species
UGCCAGCAGCCGCGGUAAUACGAAGGGACUUAGCGUAGUUCGGAAUUACUGGGCUUAAAGAGUUCGUAGGUGGUUGAAAUGGUUGGUGGUGAAAUCCAGAGCUUAACUCUGGAACUGCCAUCAAAACUUUUCAGCUAGAGUAUGAUAGAGGAAAGCAGAAUUUCUAGUGUAGAGGUGAAAUUCGUAGAUAUUAUGAAGAAUACCGGUGGCGAAGGCGGCCUCCUGGAUCUGUACUGACAUUGAGGUGCGAAAGCGUGGGUAGCGAACAGGAUUAGAUA